rnacentral:rRNA from 1 species
AUGGCUGGCAUUAACUAUGUGUUCAUCACUCUGCUGCCUAAAAAGGAUACUCCAAUGGAUUUGCGAGACUACCGACCAAUUUCUCUCGUACAUAGUGUACCAAAGUUGGUUUCCAAGGUUCUGGUAACUAGGCUGAAACCAUGGAUUCCCCUCUUGAUUCACAAUCUUCAGUCUGGUUUCUUACGGGGCCGUUCGAUCAUAGAAAACUUCACUUUG